AGACUGUAGGUGUGUUCUGAGUCAUAGAUUUUAUAAAUAGAAUAUCAGCAACAAUUAGAACAAAAACAAGAUGCUGGAAAAUCCAUUAAACACAUUCAUGACUUGUAAUUGCAUCAAAAAUAAAAGAACAAUUUUACUAAAGUCAAAAACAGUAUUUCUGAAUCUCAUAUCAUACUAGGAACAAAAAACUACUUAGCUUCGGGGGGAAGGAAACCAUAAAAAAUUAA